rnacentral:rRNA from 1 species
CUAUCUACCGUGGGCGCUGGAAAUUUGAGAGGAUCUGCUCCUAGUACGAGAGGACCAGAGUGGACGAACCUCUGGUGUACCGGUUGUGACGCCAGUCGCAUCGCCGGGUAGCUAUGUUCGGAAGGGAUAACCGCUGAAAGCAUCUAAGCGGGAAGCCUACCUCAAGAUAAGAUUUCCCUAGGACUUUAUGUCCUCUAAAGAGCCGUUCGAGACUAGGACGUUGAUAGGUUGGAUGUGGAAGCAUAGUGAUAUGUGAAGCUGACCAAUACUAAUUGCUCGUGAGGCUUGACUAUACAACACCCAAGCAGUUG